UAAAUGCUAAAAUUAUAAAUAACCAGUUUGAAAAAAAAAAUCAUGUUCGUAAUCGUAUCAUCUUCGCGCGCGCGCGCCCUUGUUUACGAAUGGGGUCCGGUACGGUCGGGGCGAAGGUUGGGGAGCGCACGACCGGGGACCGUACACAGAGCUCUAUCCGCCCCGCUAGCGCUGCCUGCAUUCUGAAUGAAAACACGGCCGGCUGAUAGCACUUUGCAGCUCCAAGCCAUGCAACGUUGAUUCUUGCUGCGUGACGUGCGAUGCUGGGCAGCUCUAACGUUAGCUCCAAUUUCUUGCGCUGGAGUCAGCUGCAGAUUGAGGUUGAAUGAUGAUGUUGCAGGUGAUGUACAAAUAGAAUAAAUCUAAAAAUGAAGAAUCAUGUAUGGGAUUAUAUACUCCAACAAUCUAGAAUUUUAGAUCUUAAACUAAGUUGAAGAUAUAAUUAAAAUUAUGAAAUACAACUUAAUUUCUGAUAUUUCUACGCUCUUGUUAUUUUUGAACAAGAAUAACGAGAGCGUAGAAAUGUCAGAAAUGAAGUUUUAUCCCACGAAAGUAGAAAUCUUGGGGGUGAAAGUUUCAGGUUUUGGCGUCCUUGUGUAGGUGAAUCAGAACAGAAGGAACUUAGGAAGACCUGGCUUCAUUGAGAGUAAGCCUACGUUAGUAAAUGAUUUUUACUCUCUAGAAGCCUCUUGGCUACGAAGAUCUACAUUCUUUUUGCAUAGAUCGAUCGUCUGUCACUGCAGUCUGUUAUGAAUCUGUGUCACUGUCAGCUUUCGAUGAGACCCGACCCAGGCCCCUCGUCCAAUGUGAAAUUCACGUAAAAAAAAAAUGUAAAAUGUUGAUCUUUGGAAAGUUAACAAUCAUCACUGAUCAACUAUUUUGACAGUGUUUUGUUGAAUGUUUACAUUUUGUUCCAAAACCAACUGCAGAUCCACAAGGGCACAUUAAAAUAUGGCUGUAUUUUUGUCAUUGGGCAAGA